AGAGUGGCUGGUUUACCAGAGGGCCUCUGGCCCACACUUGGCAAGACAGAUCAUCCCACGGAGUUGGGGAACUGGGACUCCUGUGACCCAUGUAGAUACGGUGCUUCCCUCUGACUCGAAGGGUUUGGCCCCCGACCCCGGAACGGCCUGAAGCUUGGACUGUCGGCCCUGCCCUUCUUCUGGGCUGGGAGAAAGGGCAGGCAAGAGGCCUUGGGGGUUGGGGCGGGAGACCGAAGGUGGGGAUGUGCCGCUGUGUACAGCCGACUUGCCUGCCCAUCACCCAAACACCAAGUUCCGCUCGCAGAGGAAGUGAGAGGUGUCCGAUUCGGUCUCCCAGAACGCAGCUGGGCUGCCUGAAACGAGCGCCGCGGCGACUCUGAAGGAGGUGUCAUCCCUGGGCCAGUACAGGAUUGAGUCACAGAAGCCGCCACUCCUGCGUCAAAAAUACUGGGCCAUUGUCCCAGGGAGUUUGGCCCCUCAGUCGUCAUUUCCGACCCGCUCCCUGGAAUCCCAAUGAAGGAAAAAGGGGAGGAAAAGAAGCGGAAACCAGAAUGGCUAAGCAAGCCGAGGAAGACGAGCCCCGGCCAGCUGGAGCAGCACCUGAGUGUGCGACCCCACCCCCCACUGGGGCAUCUUCUCCUUGGUUACAUUCCAGACCCGGAAGCGAAUCCCGGCUGUAUGGUGUCCAAAGACCUACAAUCUGGGGGCAUUCCUUAAUAAAAAGAAUCCAAGAUUCUGAAAACAAACUUAAGUACAAAAGAUUGGAGGCUGGAGAUCCGAGACCAGGGUGCCAGCAUGGUCGGGUUCUGGUGAGAGCCCUCUUCUGGUUGCAGACUGUAGACUUCUCAUUGCAUCCUCUCAUGUGGUAGAAGUAAAUAGGACCUCACAAUGCACCUCUUACCCAGAGAGGCACGAUGAUUGUCUAAGAACACAGGCAAGCUGGCGGAGGCUGUCGGAUGGCGACCUGUGCUCUGGGGCUUUCCUGGGCUUCACUACAGGGGGGAAGAGCGACAUCCAGUGACCCUGAGCUCAGGGACCAAGAAAGAACACAAUCAAAAUAUCGUCCCUCUUGCUGCUCUUCCCCGAAAAGAAAGAAGAAAGGAGCAUGAGUUCGGGCUUGUUUUGCAGUUUGAAUCUCAGGAAUGCAUAAGAAACAGCAGUGUUGCCUUCUGAGCAAAGAUGCUGUAUUGAAACUUGACUCAUCCUUGGCGGUUUAUUGUGUUCCCCGCCCCUCCUUCCUUGUGACACAGAGGAGGGAGCUGCCUUGCCGAUGACAAGUGGUACCACAGAGGCCUCAGCUGCAACUGUUAGUUUCUGAAAGGAGGAACAUGAAGAAGGCCUGGCUCCCUCUCUGCCAAGGUCAGUGAGAGCUUUGGGCUGAUUUCAGCAGCAUGAGUACCCGACUUCAAAUGAAGGAAACCACAUGUGGAGC
rnacentral:lncRNA from 1 species